rnacentral:rRNA from 1 species
AUUUAUUUGAAAUUUGACCUGCCCAAUGAAUUAAUUUAAUGGCCGCGGUAAAUUGACCGUGCAAAGGUAGCAUAAUCAUUAGUCUAUUAAUUGUGGACUUGUAUGAAUGGUUGGACGAAAUAUUAACUGUCUCAUUUUUACUGUUAAAAUUUAAAAUUUAAGUUAAAAUGCUUAAAUAUUAUUAUUAGACGAGAAGACCCUAUAGAUCUUUAUUUUAUUUUUUUUUAUUAUUAUUUAGUUUAUUUGUUUUAUAAUUUUAAUAAUAUUUUGUUGGGGUGACAUAAGGAUAAAAAUAACUCCUUAUUUUUUUUUAUACAUUGAUUUUUGAUUAUUUGAUCUUUUAUUAUUGCUGUAAGAUUAGAUACCUUAGGGAUAACAGCGUAAUUUCUUUUGAGAGUUCAUAUCGACAAGGAAGAUUGCGACCUCGAUGUUGGAUUAAGAUUAUAAUUAGGUGUAGGUGCUUAAUAUAUAGGUCUG